rnacentral:rRNA from 1 species
GAUGAACGCUGGCGGCGUGCCUAAUACAUGCAAGUCGAGCGAACAGACGAGGAGCUUGCUCCUCUGACGUUAGCGGCGGACGGGUGAGUAACACGUGGAUAACCUACCUAUAAGACUGGGAUAACUUCGGGAAACCGGAGCUAAUAUCGGAUAAUAUAUUGAACCGCAUGGUUCAAUAGUGAAAGACGGUUUUGCUGUCACUUAUAGAUGGAUCCGGGUCGCAUUAGCUAGUUGGUAAGGUAACGGCUUACCAAGGCAACGAUGCGUAGCCGACCUGAGAGGAUGAUCAGCCACACUGGAACUGAGACACGGUCCAGACUCCUACGGGAGGCAGCAGUAGGGAAUAUUCCACAAUGGGCGAAAGCCUGACGCAGCAACACCGCGUGAGUGAUGAAGGUCUUCGGAUCGUAAAACUCUUUUAUUAGGAAAGAACAAAUGUAUAAGUAACUAUGCACGUCUUGACGGUACCUAAUCAGAAAGCCACGGCUAACUACGUG